UACAGAGGGUGCGAGCGUUAAUCGGAAUUACUGGGCGUAAAGGGCGCGUAGGCGGUUAUGUAAGUUGGAUGUGAAAUCCCUGGGCUUAACCUAGGAACUGCAUACAAUACUGUAUAACUUGAGUGCUGUAGAGGGUAGUGGAAUUUCCGGUGUAGCGGUGAAAUGCGUAGAUAUCGGAAGGAACACCAGUGGCGAAGGCGGCUACCUGGACAGACACUGACGCUGAGGCGCGAGAGCGUGGGGAGCAAACAGG
rnacentral:rRNA from 1 species